CAGACACCAAAUCGGCAAGCACCUCAGUCUUGGACUUCCCAGCCUUCAGAACCGUGAGAAAUAAAAGUUUGUUGUUUAAAUCACUCAGACUGUGGUCUUCUGUUAUAGCAGCACAAACUCAGAUACUGAUGUUCAGGGAAAACUUGCUAAGGGGAUGGAUUUUUAGAAACCGGGGGGAAAAGCCCAUUCUUAGCGAAGUGAGAAAUGUCUGAAUGGUACUGGCAGACUGUAGAGGAAGGAAUAAAGAGGCUGAGCAAAGUGAGCAUACCGGACCAGAAGAUCCAUCAGAGGACUGUGCUCUGCGAAUGUCCCCAGAGGAGACGGCAUUCACCCACGGCCAUCAGGAAAACAGUGCUGAGAGAAAGACCAACAUCACCAAGUCUGCAGGCCAGAGAUGAAGGCAAGAAUACUGGAGUGGAUAUGCCGUUUCCAUCUCCAGGGGAUCUUUCUGACCAGGAACCAAAGCUGUGUCUCCUGUAUUGGCAGGCCGAUCCUUUACCGCUGAGCAAGCAGGGAAGUCCACGGGAUGAAGAUGGAAAUAAUUAUAAUAAAACAAUAAUGUUAACAGCACGUGAUGCCUCCUAUGCACCAGGUGCUCUGCUAAGGACUUGACGUACAUUGUCAUCUAAUCUUCAAAAUGGUCUUCAGAAGGAGAUACUAUCGUGAUCAUUUUACAGAAGAGAAGAUUGCCACUUGAGGUCGAUGCCAUCAUCUUCCUCAUUUUACAGAAGAAGAAACGAAGCACAAAAUAGUAAUUCACCCAAAGCAUAUCACUAAUGACUGGUGAAGUUGGGGUUCAUACACUGUACCUCCUUAAUCCAAUAUUGCCCCAAGCAUAUGAGGAUUUCUAAUACAUAGUGGGCAUUAGUAAAUAAUAGCCAUUUUGAUGUAUAGUGAUCAAUUAUAAGAGUCCUGAACCACUAUUGCCAGGUCUCCGACACAGGAAGAGUCAUGGCACUGUUUGAUGGAAGUAGAGAGGAUGCUCCACUUUUAACUUGAACACAAACUGAAGGUACAGGAGGAUGUACUCCACCAGAAUAAGGAAGUGAAGUAAGAAAGGAUAAGACCUUGAUCCAAGAAACAAAGCAACAAAGUCUCUAGAAUGGGUUAAAUGGAGACCUCUAGGUGACAGCUGUGCCUGGAAAGCAACAUGUCCAGGAUGGAACAGGUCACAAGGUACCAGAAAGCAUUUCUCCGGGAGGGUGAAAUUGAUAAAAUAUCUUAAUUUGAAUAUCUCAAGUGGAAACUUGCACACUUUGGGAAGGAUUUGGAUUAAAUUAGCACAAGUCCAUCAGAGAAGGCAAUGGCACCCCACUCCAGUACUCUUGUCUGGAAAAUUCCACGGACG
ensembl:lncRNA